UACGUAGGUGGCAAGCGUUAUCCGGGUCUACUGGGUGUAAAGGGCGUGUAGGCGGGAGUGCAAGUCAGAUGUGAAAACCACGGGCUCAACCUGUGGCCUGCAUUUGAAACUGUACUUCUUGAGUACUGGAGAGGCAGACGGAAUUCCUAGUGUAGCGGUGAAAUGCGUAGAUAUUAGGAGGAACACCAGUGGCGAAGGCGGUCUGCUGGACAGCAACUGACGCUGAGGCGCGAAAGCGUGGGGAGCAAACAGG
rnacentral:rRNA from 1 species